GACGAACGCUGGCGGCGUGCUUAACACAUGCAAGUCGAACGGAGUGGCGAACGGGUGAGUAUUACGUGAGUAACCUGCCCUCAACUGUGGGAUAAGCCUGGGCAACUGGGUCUAAUACUGCAUAGUUGGGGAUGGGCUCGCGGCCUAUUAGCUUGGUGGGUGGGGGAUGGCCUACCAAGGCGGUGACGGGUAGACGGCCUGAGAGGGUGGUCGGCCACAUUGGGACUAAGAUACGGCCCAGACUCCUGCGGGAGGCAGCAGUGGGGGAUAUUGAACAAUGGGAGCGAGCCUGAGGCAGCGAGGGCGCGGGAGGGAUGAAGGCUUUCGGGUUGUAAACCUCUUUCGGUACAGAACGGGUAUGUGAAGAAGAAGCGCCGGCUAACUACGUGCCAGCAGCCGCGGUAAUAC
rnacentral:rRNA from 1 species